rnacentral:rRNA from 1 species
GACGAACGCUGGCGGCGUGCUUAACACAUGCAAGUCGAACGGAAAGGCCCUGCUUUUGUGGGGUGCUCGAGUGGCGAACGGGUGAGUAACACGUGAGUAACCUGCCCUUGACUUUGGGAUAACUUCAGGAAACUGGGGCUAAUACCGGAUAGGAGCUCCUGCUGCAUGGUGGGGGUUGGAAAGUUUCGGCGGUUGGGGAUGGACUCGCGGCUUAUCAGCUUGUUGGUGGGGUAGUGGCUUACCAAGGCUUUGACGGGUAGCCGGCCUGAGAGGGCGACCGGCCACAUUGGGACUGAGAUACGGCCCAGACUCCUACGGGAGGCAGCAGUGGGGAAUAUUGCACAAUGGACGGAAGCCUGAUGCAGCAACGCCGCGUGCGGGAUGACGGCCUUCGGGUUGUAAACCGCUUUCGCCUGUGACGAAGCGUGAGUGACGGUAAUGGGUAAAGAAGCACCGGCUAACUACGUG